CGGACGGCUGAGUAAUGCACAGGAACGUACCCGGAAGUGGGGGAUAGCCCAUCGAAAGAUGGGGUAAUACCGCAUGUGAUCGCAAGAUCAAAGCCGCAAGGCGCUACCGGAGCGGCCUGUGUCCUAUCAGGUUGUUGGUGGGGUAAUGGCCUACCAAGCCUAUGACGGGUAGUUGGUCUGAGAGGAUGACCAGCCAGAUCGGGACUGAGACACGGCCCGA
rnacentral:rRNA from 1 species